rnacentral:rRNA from 1 species
GUGGCGGACGGGUGAGUAACGCGUGGUAAUCUGCCCUCAGGAGGGGGAUAACGGGUGGAAACGGCCGCUAAUACCCCAUAUGCCGAGAGGUGAAAUGAAUUUCGCCUGAGGAUGAGCCCGCGUCUGAUUAGCUAGUUGGUGAGGUAAGAGCUCACCAAGGCAUCGAUCAGUAGCUGGUCUGAUAGGAUGAUCAGCCGCACUGGGACUGAGACACGGACCACACUCCUACGGGAGGCAGCAGUGGGGAAUUUUCCGCAAUGGGCGAAAGCCUGACGGACCAACGCCGGGAGAGGGAUGAAGGCCUCUGGGCUGUAAACCUCUUUUCUCAAGGAAGAAGAUCUGACGGUACUUGAGGAAUAAGCCACGGCUGAUUCCGUGCCAGCARCCGCGGUAAUACGGGAGUGGCAAGCGUUAUCCGGGAAUUAUUGGGCGUAAAGCGUCCGCAGGCGGCCCUUCAAGUCUGCUGUUAAAAAGUGGAGCUUAACUCCAUCAUGGCAGUGGAAACUGUUGGGCUUGAGUGUGGUAGGGGCAGAGGGAAUUCCCGGUGUAGCGGUGAAAUGCGUAGAUAUCGGGAAGAACACCAGUGGCGAAGGCGCUCUGCUGGGCCAUAACUGACGCUCAUGGACGAAAGCCAGGGGAGCGAAAGGGAUUAGAUACCCCUGUAGUCCUGGCCGUAAACGAUGAACACUAGGUGUCGGGGGAAUCGACCCCCUCGGUGUCGUAGCCAACGCGUUAAGUGUUCCGCCUGGGGAGUACGCACGCAAGUGUGAAACUCAAAGGAAUUGGCGGGGGCCCGCACAAGCGGUGGAGUAUGUGGUUUAAUUCGAUGCAACGCGAAGAACCUUACCAGGGUUUGACAUCCUGCGAACCUCUUGGAAACGAGAGGGUGCCUUCGGGAACGCAGUGACAGGUGGUGCAUGGCUGUUGUCAGCUCGUGUCGUGAGAUGUUGGGUUAAGUCCCGCAACGAGCGCAACCCACGUCUUUAGUUGCCAGCAUUUAGUUGGGCACUCUAGAGAGACCGCCGGUGAUAAACCGGAGGAAGGUGUGGAUGACGUCAAGUCAUCAUGCCCCUUACAUCCUGGGCUACACACGUACUACAAUGCUACGGACAAAGAGCAGCAAGUUCGCGAGGACAAGCAAAUCUCAUAAACCGUGGCUCAGUUCAGAUCGUAGGCUGCAACUCGCCUACGUGAAGGAGGAAUCGCUAGUAAUCGCAGGUCAGCAUACUGCGGUGAAUACGUUCCCGGGCCUUGUACACACCGCCCGUCACACCAUGGAAGUUGGCCACGCCCGAAGCCGUUACUCCAACCCUCGGGAGGAGGACGUCGAAGGUGGGGCUGAUGACUGGGGUGAAGUCGUAACAAGGUAACCGUA